ensembl:lncRNA
CCCGGCGCGUCGCCUGGGCAAUGGGUAAACCUCAGGAACUCUUAGGCUGAGGUGCUUGAAAUCUCUUAGGUUGAGGUGCUUGAAAGCGCUUACGCGUCGAAAAGGAACUAUCUGCCAACCUAGUGAAGUGUCGACGGAAUCUUGAAGUGAUGAGGUGAUGCCUCCCUUUACUCAUGUGAAACUGCAGCUUGGGGAUGAAGGUAGUUAAAGCGCAGAAGACGAAUCCAAGUUUCAUAAUUCCCAGGCUGAAUCUCUAACGUCCUUUCCACAGCAGACUGAGCACAGGACCAACAGAGUUCUCUGUGUUACAUUUCUUGAGUUGAAUGGGAAAGAUGUCAGAAAUCCCAUCUUCUUCAAGGCAAAGUAAGAAAACAG